UCUGACACAGGUGCUGCAUGGCUGUCGUCAGCUCGUGUCGUGAGACUGUUCGGGUUAAGUCCCGUAACGAGCGCAACCCUUGUCCUUAGUUACCAGCACGUUAUGGUGGGCACUCUAAGGAGACUGCCGGUGACAAACCGGAGGAAGGUGGGGAUGACGUCAAGUCAUCAUGGCCCUUACGGCCUGGGCUACACACGUGCUACAAUGGUCGGUACAAAGGGUUGCCAAGCCGCGAGGUGGAGCUAAUCCCAUAAAACCGAUCGUAGUCCGGAUCGCAGUCUGCAACUCGACUGCGUGAAGUCGGAAUCGCGUAGUAAUCGUGAAUCAGCCAUGGCGCGGUGAAUACGUUCCCGGGCCUU
rnacentral:rRNA from 1 species